ACCCAGAGCUUUAAUGUUGUAAUCUAUGACCCAAGUCCCCGGGAAACAUUCUAAUUCCUAUUUCUAAGUGUUUACCUGACAAAGUAUGAUCUAUGGCCGCAAUGGAAUUAAACUUAAAACAAAAGAAAAGUGGCAAGCAAGUGUAGGAUCCCAGGUGUGAGCAAGGUGUGGGGCUGUAGGAUCCCAGGUGUGAGCAAGGUGAGGGGCUGUAGGAUCCCAGGUGUGAACAAGGUGAGGGGCUGUAGGAUCCCAGGUGUGAGCAAGGUGUGGGGCUGUAGGAUCCCAAGUGUGAACAAGGUGAGGGGCUGUAGGAUCCCAGGUGUGAGCAAGGUGUGGGGCUGUAGGAUCCCAGGUGUGAGCAAGGUGUGGGGCUGUAGGAUCCCAGGUGUGAGCAAGGUGUGGGGCUGUAGGAUCCCAGGUGUGAGCAAGGUGUGGGGCUGUAGGAUCCCAGGUGUGAGCAAGGUUGUGGGGCUGUAAGAUCCCAGGUGUGAACAAGGUGUGGGGCUGUAGGAUCCCAGGUAUGAACACGGUGAGGGGCUGUAGGAUCCCAGGUGUGAACACGGUGAGGGGCUGUAGGAUCCCAGGUGUGAACAAGGUGAGGGGCUGUAGGAUCCCAGGUGUGAGCAAGGUGUGGGGCUGUAGGAUCCCAGGUGUGAGCAAGGAGAGGGGCUGUAGGAUCCCAGGUGUGAACAACGUGAGGGGCUGUAGGGUCCCAGGUGUGAACAAGGUGAGGGGCUGUAGGAUCCUAAGUGUGAGCAAGGCGAGGCUGGGAAUGAAACCUAGAGCUUUGUAUGUGCUAG